UUCGUCCAGGGGGCCGCCUUCGCCACCGGUAUUCCUCCAGAUCUCUACGCAUUUCACCGCUACACCUGGAAUUCUACCCCCCUCUACGAGACUCAAGCUUGCCAGUAUCAGAUGCAGUUCCCAGGUUGAGCCCGGGGAUUUCACAUCUGACUUAACAAACCGCCUGCGUGCGCUUUACGCCCAGUAAUUCCGAUUAACGCUUGCACCCUCCGUAUUACCGCGGCUGCUGGCACGGAGUUAGCCGGUGCUUCUUCUGCGGGUAACGUCAAUGAGCAAAGGUAUUAACUUUACUCCCUUCCUCCCCGCUGAAAGUACUUUACAACCCGAAGGCCUUCUUCAUACACGCGGCAUGGCUGCAUCAGGCUUGCGCCCAUUGUGCAAUAUUCCCCACUGCUGCCUCCCGUAGGAGUCUGGACCGUGUCUCAGUUCCAGUGUGGCUGGUCAUCCUCUCAGACCAGCUAGGGAUCGUCGCCUAGGUGAGCCGUUACCCCACCUACNAGCUAAUCCCAUCUGGGCACAUCCGAUGGCAAGAGGCCCGAAGGUCCCCCUCUUUGGUCUUGCGACGUUAUGCGGUAUUAGCUACCGUUUCCAGUAGUUAUCCCCCUCCAUCAGGCAGUUUCCCAGACAUUACUCACCCGUCCGCCACUCGUCAGCGAAGCAGCAAGCUGCUUCCUGUUACCGUUCGACUUGCAUGUGUUA
rnacentral:rRNA from 1 species